GCGUUUCAGUAUGGAAACAGGGUUACGUACUGGGUUGCGACUGUGAAAGAAAGAAAAGGAGAUUCCGGCCAACUGUAUUCUAUUUUGUUUACAAAAUAGUGCGAAUACUCAUCAUGAUCCUGCCGAAGAUGUGUCCUCAAAAGAUGAACAUAUUGAAAGCCUUCCCAGUCAGUUAUGUGUUGUUGAGACGCCAAGCAAACUCAAGAAAGACCUCCCUUCUUUAAAUGUAACAGUCGAACGAAAAAAGACCCAAAAAACCACAUACCCUUCUCAAGGGCGCCAUUCAUACACAAUUUCUGAUAUUAAGUGCGCUGGUGAUGGGUUCAGUUAGCAACAAGGACAAAGUAUAGAGCAGGUUGUUAGUGUUUAGAGAGAAAGAUAUAUGAAACGCUCUAUGAGGUUGCAGUGUUAUUUUGAAUAAAACUGCCAGAGUUGCAUCAGGUGCAAAAUGAACAAAAUCUGCACCAGACUCAUCAUUUCCCGUCUUUCGGGAUCUAUCAACAACAAUAUUGUCUCCUCCGCAUAAGAAACCGUUUCUAUCAAGGUAAGGUCCUCAAUAUCGAAUUGUUUUCAUUGCAUUUAAGACAUUUUUAAAUCGAAUUAUAUGGUAAAACAUCACGUCUAACUCCCUCAAACAGCUAAUAAUAGAUUUUAGAGAGAUAAUAUCUAAAUGGAUUUAGAUA